CACUCCUACGGGAGGCAGCAGUGGGGAAUUUUGGACAAUGGGGGCAACCCUGAUCCAGCAAUGCCGCGUGAGUGAAGAAGGCCUUCGGGUUGUAAAGCUCUUUUGUCAGGGAAGAAACGGUAGUAGCGAAUAACUAUUACUAAUGACGGUACCUGAAGAAUAAGCACCGGCUAACUACGUGCCAGCAGCCGCGGUAAUACGUAGGGUGCAAGCGUUAAUCGGAAUUACUGGGCGUAAAGCGUGCGCAGGCGGUUGUGUAAGUCAGAUGUGAAAUCCCCGGGCUCAACCUGGGAAUUGCAUUUGAGACUGCACGGCUAGAGUGUGUCAGAGGGGGGUAGAAUUCCACGUGUAGCAGUGAAAUGCGUAGAUAUGUGGAGGAAUACCGAUGGCGAAGGCAGCCCCCUGGGAUAACACUGACGCUCAUGCACGAAAGCGUGGGGAGCAAACAGGAUUAGAAACCCCUGUAGUCCCAUGA
rnacentral:rRNA from 1 species